rnacentral:lncRNA from 1 species
UUGCUGUUGCUUCUUCAUUGAUAUGAAUUAGCUGCUGGUUACCAACUGGGUUGGGACUCAUGUUUGUAUCACUUACCCAGCUGCAACCGUCCCUCUUCCUGCCCAAUUCCAACUGUCCCUCCUAUACCAAUUCUCAACUCAUUCGUUCAGUUUAGAUAAGACAAAUUGGAGCUUCAAGGAUUCGUUGGAGCAGUUGAGAUUAAACUAAAGGAUAAUGAAAAUUUUUAAACAAGCAGGCAUCAGAUACUAUAACAUGUCCUCAAUGUUUGACCAAAGUUGGUUCAUGUAUGACUAGUUGGUAAUUACCAGUGCAUGUGUAAUUGGUGGUGC